UUGCACUUCUUAUCAUAGGCUCUCCAAUUCUUUUGAUGUAGCCUCGAGUGAGGGUGCAUAAAUAAAAUCUGUUCAUUCAGCAGUGGCCAGACAACCACGAGAUGGAUCCACUGAUGAACAGCUUAUGAUGCUGUUUGCCUACUAAUUCCAUCUUACAUUU